CCACAUAUGCUAAUCAUAGAUUAAUUAUACUUAAUAAAUUUGUCUUGCAGUUUCCUGACGAGCUAUGUAAUUUGUUUUUUUAUUAGUUUCUAAAAAUCCCUCCCGACAUCCUUCCGACACAUCCGAUGUGACACGCAAAAAAUUUUCGUUCCCAAUCUAAACAGGCCCUUAGGCCUCCACUCUGGUGCUUCCUGUACAGUAGAGAACAACAUCUCACCUAGUCACCUGUCG
rnacentral:lncRNA from 1 species